rfam:Triticum aestivum genome assembly, contig: Triticum_aestivum_CS42_TGACv1_scaffold_291109_4AL
AAAUUACUCCCUCCGUCCCAAAAUUCUUGUCUUAGAUUUGUUUCAAUACGUAUUAAGUACUUAAUACAUCCGUAUUGAGACAAAUCUAAGACAAGAAUUUUGGGACGGAGGGAGUACAUA